rnacentral:lncRNA from 1 species
CAAAACCUAGGAUUCUUUAAUUUGUUUGGAAAGACUUGUAUAAUUUUCUGGUUGUUUGAUUGACACCCCAAGUACCAAGUCUUUGGAUAGAGUUGUAUUAUUAUGUGGUUUUGUGAGUUGAAUUGCAGUAGAAAUAAAUUUGAGAUAUAGAAUACUUUAGUAGAGAAACUGUGAUAUUUUGUCAUAGAAGUUAGGUAGUGUAAAUUUCGGAAUGUGUUUUACUUGAGAACGUAAAUUUUAUCUUAUGCUCUUUUAACAGUUUGUGGCUGUACCAGUACAAAUUCACAUAGUGUAUUAAUGAAUUUUGUGGCAGGAAAGGAGUUUAUGGAAGACGGGAAUCAUGACUCGGGAAACGGUCAAGAAUUUGAAGAAGUUUGGACAUCAACCAGGGUAGUGGUGCUGAAUUUCUUGUUGUUGGCAUGACAUUUUUAGUUAUUUUUAUUUCAAAGGUACUGUUUUUGUUGCUACUAGUCUGGAAUUUAGAUUGGGUGAAUAGAAAUUCAAUGUUGUAGUUUUCCUGAUAUUGGCAUGAAAUUUUGACUUGUUAAGCCAGUUUUUGAAAAAGAAAAUACUGCUAUUUUGUGCUUGUAUCGCAUCAAAUUCGCACAAGUUAAAAGAUAUGUUUACUUUACUGGAAAAAUGUAGUGCUAUUUUGUGUAAAUAUGGACUCCCAAUCAAUCAAAAUUUUCUCAUUUUCAUUUGCACUGCUGAAUUUUAAGAUGGCAUUACAUGCUUUGUGGUAUUAAUUUGGAGUUGUUCAAUGCAGAUUGGAUGCACUCCGUUGCUACUAUAUAUUGGAAGAAUGUAGCUACUCACAACAUGUUCCUCUGUCAUUCGUGGUUCGACGAUGUUUAUUAAUUAUAGAAAUUAGAAGUAUUUCUGUGCUAUUUUAACUUAGUAUGACAUUGAUAUCAUUUCUUUGUCAAAGUAUAAUAGAUAUUUGUUGCUGGAUUUACGUAGAUGUUGGUUGAUGAUUUGUAGCUUUGGUAGGAUGAUGUUUGUCGCUGGAAUUAUGUACAUUUUGAUUAAUGUCAACCUCUUUGGCAGGAUCAUUGUUGGCAGAUUUAUGUACAUUUUGAUUAAUGUUAACCUCUUUGGUAGGAUGAUAUUUGUUGGCGG